UACGGGGGGGGCAAGCGUUGUUCGGAAUUACUGGGCGUAAAGGGCUCGUAGGCGGCCAACUAAGUCGGAUGUGAAAUCCCCAGGCUUAACCUGGGAACUGCAUCCGAUACUGGAUGGCUUGAAUCCGGGAGAGGAAUGCGGAAUUCCAGGUGUAGCGGUGAAAUGCGUAGAUAUCUGGAGGAACGCCGGUGGCGAAGGCGGCAUUCUGGACCGACAUUGACGCUGAGGAGCGAAAGCCAGGGGAGCAAACGGG
rnacentral:rRNA from 1 species